rnacentral:rRNA from 1 species
CACUAUCGUUAACUGAAUACAUAGGUUAACGAGGCGAACCGGGGGAACUGAAACAUCUAAGUACCCCGAGGAAAAGAAAUCAACCGAGAUUCCCCCAGUAGCGGCGAGCGAACGGGGAGCAGCCCAGAGUCUGAAUCAGCUUGUGUGUUAGUGGAACGGUCUGGAAAGUCCGACGGUACAGGGUGAUAGUCCCGUACACCAAAAUGCACAGGUUGUGAACUCGAAGAGUAGGGCGGGACACGUGGUAUCCUGUCUGAAUAUGGGGGGACCAUCCUCCAAGGCUAAAUACUCCUGACUGACCGAUAGUGAACCAGUACCGUGAGGGAAAGGCGAAAAGAACCCCGGCGAGGGGAGUGAAAAAGAACCUGAAACCGUGUACGUACAAGCAGUGGGAGCACCUUCGGGUGUGACUGCGUACCUUUUGUAUAAUGGGUCAGCGACUUAUAUUCUGUAGCAAGGUUAACCGUAUAGGGGAGCCGCAGGGAAACCGAGUCUUAACUGGGCGUUAAGUUGCAGGGUAUAGACCCGAAACCCGGUGAUCUAGCCAUGGGCAGGUUGAAGGUUGGGUAACACUAACUGGAGGACCGAACCGACUAAUGUUGAAAAAUUAGCGGAUGACUUGUGGCUGGGGGUGAAAGGCCAAUCAAACCGGGAGAUAGCUGGUUCUCCCCGAAAGCUAUUUAGGUAGCGCCUCGUGAACUCAUCUUCGGGGGUAGAGCACUGUUUCGGCUAGGGGGUCAUCCCGACUUACCAACCCGAUGCAAACUACGAAUACCGAAGAAUGUUAUCACGGGAGACACACGGCGGGUGCUAACGUCCGUCGUGAAGAGGGAAACAACCCAGACCGCCAGCUAAGGUCCCAAAGUCAUGGUUAAGUGGGAAACGAUGUGGGAAGGCACAGACAGCCAGGAUGUUGGCUUAGAAGCAGCCAUCAUUUAAAGAAAGCGUAAUAGCUCACUGGUCGAGUCGGCCUGCGCGGAAGAUGUAACGGGGCUAAACCAUGCACCGAAGCUGCGGCAGCGACACUAUGUGUUGUUGGGUAGGGGAGCGUUCUGUAAGCCUGCGAAGGUGNUGCUGGAGGUAUCAGAAGUGCGAAUGCUGACAUAAGUAACGAUAAAGCGGGUGAAAAGCCCGCUCGCCGGAAGACCAAGGGUUCCUGUCCAACGUUAAUCGGGGCAGGGUGAGUCGACCCCUAAGGCGAGGCCGAAAGGCGUAGUCGAUGGGAAACAGGUUAAUAUUCCUGUACUUGGUGUUACUGCGAAGGGGGGACGGAGAAGGCUAUGUUAGCCGGGCGACGGUUGUCCCGGUUUAAGCAUGUAGGCUGGUUAUCCAGGCAAAUCCGGAUAAUCAAGGCUGAGGUGUGAUGACGAGGCACUACGGUGCUGAAGUAACAAAUGCCCUGCUUCCAGGAAAAGCCUCUAAGCAUCAGGUAACAUCAAAUCGUACCCCAAACCGACACAGGUGGUCAGGUAGAGAAUACCAAGGCGCUUGAGAGAACUCGGGUGAAGGAACUAGGCAAAAUGGUGCCGUAACUUCGGGAGAAGGCACGCUGGUGUGUAGGUGAAGCCCCUGCGGGUGGAGCUGAGACCAGUCGAAGAUACCAGCUGGCUGCAACUGUUUAUUAAAAACACAGCACUGUGCAAACACGAAAGUGGACGUAUACGGUGUGACGCCUGCCCGGUGCCGGAAGGUUAAUUGAUGGGGUUAUCCGUAAGGAGAAGCUCUUGAUCGAAGCCCCGGUAAACGGCGGCCGUAACUAUAACGGUCCUAAGGUAGCGAAAUUCCUUGUCGGGUAAGUUCCGACCUGCACGAAUGGCGUAAUGAUGGCCAGGCUGUCUCCACCCGAGACUCAGUGAAAUUGAACUCGCUGUGAAGAUGCAGUGUACCCGCGGCAAGACGGAAAGACCCCGUGAACCUUUACUAUAGCUUGACACUGAACAUUGAGCCUUGAUGUGUAGGAUAGGUGGGAGGCUUUGAAGCGUGGACGCCAGUCUGCGUGGAGCCAACCUUGAAAUACCACCCUUUAAUGUUUGAUGUUCUAACGUUGGCCCCUUACCGGGGUUGCGGACAGUGUCUGGUGGGUAGUUUGACUGGGGCGGUCUCCUCCCAAAGCGUAACGGAGGAGCACGAAGGUUAGCUAAUCCUGGUCGGACAUCAGGAGGUUAGUGCAAUGGCAUAAGCUAGCUUGACUGCGAGCGUGACGGCGCGAGCAGGUGCGAAAGCAGGUCAUAGUGAUCCGGUGGUUCUGAAUGGAAGGGCCAUCGCUCAACGGAUAAAAGGUACUCCGGGGAUAACAGGCUGAUACCGCCCAAGAGUUCAUAUCGACGGCGGUGUUUGGCACCUCGAUGUCGGCUCAUCACAUCCUGGGGCUGAAGUAGGUCCCAAGGGUAUGGCUGUUCGCCAUUUAAAGUGGUACGCGAGCUGGGUUUAGAACGUCGUGAGACAGUUCGGUCCCUAUCUGCCGUGGGCGCUGGAGAAUUGAGGGGGGCUGCUCCUAGUACGAGAGGACCGGAGUGGACGCAUCACUGGUGUUCGGGUUGUCAUGCCAAUGGCACUGCCCGGUAGCUAAAUGCGGAAGAGAUAAGUGCUGAAAGCAUCUAAGCACGAAACUUGCCCCGAGAUGAGUUCUCCCUGAGACUUUAAGUCUCCUGAAGGAACGUUGAAGACGACGACGUUGAUAGGCCGGGUGUGUAAGCGCAGCGAUGCGUUGAGCUAACCGGUACUAAUGAACCGUGAGGCUUAACCUU